rnacentral:ncRNA from 2 species
CUGCGCGCCAGCUAGGAUAGUCUCAGCAUUUCGUUGGAGGGUGUUGGGAAGCCCCGUGAAAAUCGGGCGCGGACCCGCCGCUGUAAUCCUCGUGCACGGCUCUCGCUGAAGGCCACUGUCCCCCCUUCUUGCUUUCGCAAGAAAGCAGGGGGGAUGGGAAGGCGCGAGAGUGAGGAAAGUCAGAAGACCGACCCCCCAACGUCUCCUCAA